UUGAAUAUCAAUCGCUCCGACACUAGAGAGCACAGAAGCAAACGAUGAGGCGCCACCACAACAACCACCACAGCCUCCUCCGCCACCUCCACCGCCGCCACUUCGCCACUAAAUACACCGCCAGAGUCAUCACCGAAUCCUCCGACGGCCGCUCCCUCGCCAUCUCCGUCAACCCCCCGACCCUCCCCACCGACGUCCGGGGCUACGCCCUACCCCGCCGCGACCUCGUCUGCCACGUCACCAAGCUCCUCAGCCAAUCCCCGCCCGCGCCGUCCUCCCCCUUCUCCGACGACCUCCACGACCACCUCCUCUCCCUAUCCCCUCCCCUCACCCCCUCCGAAGCCUCCGAAAUCCUCAAAUCCCUAUCCUGCCCCCGCCUCGCCCUCCGCUUCUUCCGAUUCUGCCCCUCCCACAUCCCCGAUUUCCGCCACGACCCCUUCACCUACAACCGGAUCCUCCUCAUCCUCUCCAAAUCCCCUCCCCACGACCGGAACGACGCCGUGCGCCGCAUUCUAAACGACAUGGAGCGCACGGGCGUGCGCGGCAACAUCUCCACCGUUAAUUUACUGAUCGGGAUAUUCGGGGGAGGCGAGGAGCUGGAGAGUUGCCUGGGGCUGGUGAAGAAGUGGGAGCUGAGGUUGAAUUGUUAUACGUACAAGUGCCUCCUUCAGGCCUACUUGAGGUCGAGGGAUUUAAACAAGGCGUUUGAUGUGUAUAUGGAGAUGAGGCGGCGCGGAUAUAAGCUGGAUAUAUUCGCGUAUAAUAUGCUCCUGGAUGCUCUGGUUAAAGACGAGAAGGUAGAGCAGGCUUACAAGGUUUUCAAUGACAUGAAACGCAUGCACUGUGAGCCAGACGGGUAUACAUACACUAUUCUGAUCAGAAUGACUGGUAAAAUUGGGAAGCCUGAUGAUGCACUAGCCCUCUUUCAAGAAAUGCUAGCAAAAGGCUGUAUUCCAAACUCAAUUGUUUAUAACACUAUGAUCGAGGCACUUGCUAAGAGUCGGAUGGUUGACAAGACAAUAUUUCUCUUCUCUAAAAUGGUGGAAAAUGAUUGUCGGCCAAAUGAGUUCACCUACAGCCUCAUUCUAAAUGUUCUGGUUGCUGAAGGGCAGCUUGGUAAACUUGACGAGGUUGUGACAAUUUCAAGUAAGUACAUGAAUAAGUCGAUAUAUGCUUAUCUUGUGAGGACCUUGAGUAAAUUGGGCCAUGCAAGUGAGGCUCACAGGCUUUUUUGCAAUAUGUGGAGCUUUCAUGACAAGGGAGACAGGGAUGCUUACUUUUCUAUGCUAGAAAGUCUAUGCAAUAUGGGAAAAAUAACAGAAGCUUUGGAUUUUUUGGGCAAGAUUCAUGAAAAGGGAAUAAGUACUGAUACUUUUAUGUAUAACACCUUGUUCUCAGCCCUUGGAAAAUUCAAACAGAUUUCCCAUCUCCACGAUCUUUAUGAAAAGAUGAAGAAAGACGGCCCUCCACCAGACAUCUUCACCUACAAUAUUUUAAUCUCCAGCUUUGGUAGAGCUGGGAGAGUUGACGAAGCCGUCAAAGUAUUUGAAGAACUUGAGAACAGUAAAUGUAAGCCUGAUAUUAUCUCAUACAACUCUUUGAUCAAUUGCCUUGGGAAGAAUGGCAAUCUUGAUGAAGCCCACAUUAGGUUCAAAGAGAUGCAAGAGAAGGGAUUGAAUCCUGAUGUGGUCACAUAUAGCACACUGAUUGAGUGCUUUGGCAAGACAGAUAAAGUUGAAAUGGCUUGUAGGUUGUUUGAUGAGAUGCUGGCUGAUGGCUGCUGCCCUAACAUUGUAACAUACAAUAUCUUGCUCGACUGUUUAGAGAGGUCAGGAAGAACUGCUCAAGCGGUUGAUCUUUAUGCGAAUCUUAAGCAACAAGGGUUGACACCAGAUUCAAUCACGUAUGCAGUUCUUGAACGGUUGCAAAGUGGUUCACGUACGUCAGGUAGAAUUCGCAGACAGAGUCCGAUUACAGGAUGGGUUGUUAGUCCUUUAAGGUGAUUGAACACAUACAUAUUUAGCAUAUGAUCAGGGGAAGUGGGGUUUUGUUUGUUCAUCCUGGAAUUCUUCUGUUUGUUUCUGCAGCAGGUGACUAAUUUGUUCUAAACCGUCAGGAUUGGUGAACAUUAUAGAAUAUUGAGGAAACACCCUCAUACUUGUCACAUAUUUUGAAGGAAGGAACUUGAUACCAUGUCUUGAUAGGCAAUUAGUUGAAUAUAUAAACUUGAGAUUGACAAUAUGAGUUGAACUGGUUUGGGCCUUUUGGUUCUGGUGGAUGCUGGUUAUCGGAGGAGAUGGGCCUUCUUUUGGAUGCUGCUUUGCAAAGAGAUGUCCAAAAUCCCGAGUAAAGCAAUCUGUAUCAGAAUCUGCUUCAUUUUCAUGUGCAAAACAUCACAGUUGCAUUGUUCAUAAUGAUCAAAAAUGUUUACGGCUAUACUAUGAAAAAGAUGGUGGAAAGUGCUGAUUUAUUGGUACCAGGUAUCCUGUUUCUAGAUUUCUGGGGUCCAGAUGAGUGGGUGCCUUUCUUUGACAUAAGUAAGAAUCUUCCUCAUGCAAUUUGAAGUUGAAGGAGCCCAAUGAGCUGGCCUUGCCUUGCCUACGAAGCAAUGAGCAUCACCUGCUGAUGUACGUAGUUGCGCUGAAACUUGUUUUACCGCCCAUCCUGACAUUCAAAGGGCAUAGCUCUUGUGGAAGCAAGGAAAGCGUGUGCGGAGCAGAUAUUUAUAGAGAAAACCUAUAGGAACCGACAGGUCCCUUACCGAAAUUGUACCAACGGCCGCACCGGGCCGUUUCCGGCCACCAGACAGCCGAUCCGAGCCUUUCAAAAAUUCUAAAAACAAAAACCGAGUGGGCCUACGUGAGAAUCAAUGGCAUCCGACGCGCGUAGGUGUUCGAUCCAAACACCCCAUUUUGUUGUAUAUAAAUGUAUAUACAUGUAUAUAUGAAAAAAUGAGGUGUUUGGAUCGAGUACCUACGCACGUCGGAUGCCGUUGAAUUCCGCGGGGACCCACUCGGGGUUUUUUUUUAGAAUUUUUUGACUGCUCGGAUCGGCCUUCCGGUGGCCGGAGACGGCCCGGAGCGGCCGUCAGUACGAUUUCGGUACGGUACCCGUCGGUACCAAUAGCAGGUCUCGAUAUUUAUAUGAUUGAAAAUUAUUGUGUAGGGAACUUGUCUAACAACUCUAACCUCAAGACCCAUAUGUUAUGCUCACCCAUCUUGGGGCUGCUAAUCAGGUUCUUUCUGGUAACUCGAGGGAUAUUACUGCAUAACUCAAACUACCUCUCUUGAAGGGUAACUCUCUAUCUUUUUUUUUUGAUAAGUAGGGUAACUUUGUAUCUUGAUUGUACUUAUAUGAUUGCUGUAUUCGUGACUCUUGAAAUUGAAUUCUAUUCGUUUUGGUUUUCCUCUUCAACAGUAUGACGGAAUGCUUGGAAAUAAAAUUUGUGUUUCUAUCCGUGACCAAGCUAAGCUGCGUAGAAUGGUGAGAAAUAAAAUUUUCUGAAAUCAAUGGAGGUGGCGGAAUAAACCUUGAAUCUGACUUUGUCUUGUCUUGGAGACUUAUUCAUGAAUAUAAAUUUAAUGUAAUGUUUGACAAUUUGAAACCUGGAGGUAAACUCAAAGGUGUAGACAAUCUAAUAAAGUCGAGCCUUUUAGUGCUGUUGGCUAUGGAUCCCUUAUGAGAGAGGGGAGAGAGAGAGGCGGGGGAAGUGUCAAAGUCCUUCCCCAAGAUCCAAUUAGUGGAGAAAAAAAGAUUGAGAUUUUAAGAUGCAAAACAUGACUGAAGAGCUUCCAGGAAACGGGCCAAAACGACACUAUUUUGAUGCCCCACACAGCUGUAUGUGUGACUGCAGUACAGCACCCCCGGAUCCCUCUCUCUCCCCUGUGUCCUUCUCCAUCUCCACUUUUAUUUGUAUUGUCCCCUUUAUAUCGGAUUUUUUUUCCUUUGUUUAUAGUCUCCACUUAUUUUCUUCCUCAGUAGUAUUGCCUAUUUCCCCAUACAUACGACCAACACCAUCAAAUAGGCUCAUGAUUUAACACUGAUUUUUCUUCCUUUUGUUCUAAGUUCAAAAUAAGAAAAAAGGGAGAAUAUACGGAAAUAAGUAAAUAAUCUUUAGGAGAUAAAUACUGAGAGAGAGGAAGAGGGGGGCAACUACUCACAGAAGAGUGGACGAUUUGUGAUCUGAACCGUCUGUUUAGCAAUUAAUGGUCCAGAUGAUAAUUGUCGAGAUAAGAUUUGAAUCAUUGUUUGUUGAGAUGCCGCACUGCCCCUUAUAGUGCAGAGGUGCACUACAGAAUCAGGUGUCCCACAAGUAAAUUUGCCCACCCAGUCGCCUAUACAUGCAAAUAAAUAAAUUUGCCCACUCAAAUUUUCCACAUUUCUCGUUUUUGAAUUUGUCUGUCAUUAUUCUUAUUAUAGGUGGAUUUCCCGUACUUUUUCUUUCUCGUAUGUGCGGAAAUGACUUUAUUUUGACUUUUGAGACACAAAAAUGCCACUAUCGUACUCAGGUUUAUUGCAAUAGUAACUAGUAGUAGUUAGUAAUUUGUCGGGGAAGCAUCUCAAAGAUUAUACUAUUUCUUAUCUUUUUUAUUAAUAAAAACUUGGUUUGCCUCCAAAUUCCAACAUGUAACAUUCAAGCAUUACCUUUCGUGACCAGCUAAAACAGCCAACUGCCCAUCUUAGAAAAAUGAAUGAGAGAGAGAGAGAGAGAGAGAGAGAGAGAGAGAGCAUCUAAUACAUGGAAAAUGUGCGGAAUCAAUGUAGCCCCAGUCCGUGACCAUCAACCACUCUGUUGUUUUAUCUUCUCCUUUUCGCAUCUUUUACAUUGUUGAGGAUAUUCUGUUUCGAUGCUGCAUUUGCUUUGGGCUGAAAAAGCUGAUCUGAUUCUCUAGCCAUUGAUUCAAAAACCCUACCCUGAUGCCAAGGCAUGUGGUUGGGCAACGGUUGAGCCAGACUUUUUCCUGCAUGGCAAAAAUCUUGCAAAUCGAUCACUGUCGACCUUAAUUGGGUUCUGUUGUCUCUUUCUGAUACACACCUUUCACAUGGCAAUAAUUUUGUGGCCAGCAAAACUAGGCCUUGUGUAGAGGCAAGGCUUAUUUAAAAAGAACCCAAGAAAAGAAAAUGAGCACCAAAUUUCCCUGUCCAAAGAACAUGGAGCUCACAUUCUUCUUCUUCUUAGCCUCUGUUCUAGCAACGUCCCAAGCUGCAGCAACUCCCUACCAAAUCCACCUUCUCCGGCCACAUUCCGGGGCUUCCGGCCACCAUGUCCCCGACAUUUCCUGCCUCAGCUGGCGGCUCGCCGUUGAGACUGACAACAUCCGCGACUGGGACGUAGUCCCAGAAGCGUGUGAGAACUACGUUGGCCACUACAUGCUAGGCCAUCAGUACCGAAAAGAUUGCAACGCUGUUGGGUACUCCGCUUUGCAAUAUGCUAAGAGCCUUAAGCUCGCCGGAGACGGGAAGGACAUUUGGGUCUUUGACAUUGAUGAAACUGCACUCUCUAACCUACCGUAUUAUGCUCGCCCAGAAAAUGGAUUUGGGUAGGGUCCUAACUGACACUGUCUUCCUUUUUUAUUGCUUGUAUUGGUCUUCAUUGCAUGUGACCAGACAACCUCAGUUUUUUCCCUAACGUCAAUGGUUGUUAGUCCUACCAAUUAGAGAAUGUUCACACUUA